rnacentral:rRNA from 1 species
UCGUAGGUGACCUGCGGAGAGAUCAUUA